UUAUAACAGCUAUAGACUACACGGUAAAUAUUUUAGUUGGAUAACUGAGGUAAUUCUUGAGCUAAUACACGCUAUUUAUACCACAUUAGUGGUGCGUUUAUUUGAUUAAACCAUUUUUAUAUUGGUUGACUCAAAAUAUCCUCGCUGAUUUUGUUACUAAAACAUACCGUAUGUGUAUCUGGUUUAUCAACUUUCGAUGGUAGGGUAUUGGCCUACCAUGGUUGUGACGGAUAACGGAGAAUUAGGGUUCGACUCCGGAGAGGGAGCCUGAGAAACGGCUACCACAUCCAAGGAAGGCAGCAGGCGCGAAAAUUACCCAAUUUUAGUUAAAAGAGGUAGUGACGAAAAAUGACAACCAAAUAUUAUUAUUAAUAUUUGGAUUGAAAAUCUUCAAGUUUAAAUAACU
rnacentral:rRNA from 1 species